rnacentral:misc_RNA from 1 species
AAGGAGUCUAACAUGCCCGCGAGUUCUACAUUUUAGUUACUCAGCGUGCGAAAUCGAAAAGAAUUUCACUACUAGCAGAGCGCGUAUGUUGGGACCCGAAAGAUGGUGAACUAUGUCUGCCCAGGGCGAAGUCAGUGGAAACUCUGAUGGAGGGUCGUAGCGAUUCUGACGUGCAAAUCGAUCGUCAGAGUUGGGUAUAGGGGCGAAAGACUAAUCGAACCAUCUAGUUGCUGGUUCCUGC